rnacentral:ribozyme from 1 species
GUUGUGAUGGAGGCUGCCUUUGUGGAGGACUUGGGGGCUGACUCUCUGGACUCUGUUGAGCUCGUGAUGGCAUUGGAGGAGAAGUUCGGAAUUGAGAUUCCCGAUGAGAGCGCCACCAAGAUCUCC